UUGAGGUAGGAGUAGGGGACGCUCGAUAAAUCCAGCGUCGGCGCUGCUUGAGACCAAGAAGUCUACAGACGUCGAAGUAAUACAGUUGAUAGUGAACGUACAGCGAAACCCAUCGAUCAAAAAGAUGCCUGGACCAUGCGGAGAGAAAUGCACCGAUAAGUGCACCAACUGCAACUGCGGAGAUGACUGCAAGUGCUGUGAGACCGAAAGCGCAGAGAAGUGCUGCUGCAAGUCUGGUGGAACAUGCAACUGCAAGACCUGUACUUGCAAGUAAAGAAAUGGCUCCACUUUAAGAAGACGAACAAAAACUGCAUACUCGAUAUGUUAACUAGAGCUUGAGGAACAACACCUACUUCAUCCUUCAUCUUAAGGACCAAUUUUAUUCUCAUAGUUAUGGACCGUUUUCUUCAAAAUUGUAAACUUUUUAUUUUACUUCUUUCGUUUUUAAUCUACGUCCAUUACGAUGGUAUCCUGAAAAACUGGUAGUAUUAUUUAUUAAACUGUCGAUUGUAACGAAAAAAUAAAUAAAUUACUGAUUACGUAAAACAGAAAA